GACCGCGGGGGUGGAAAAGGCCGCUCGCCCGAGAUUGCGCGCGGAAGUAGACCUCCUUUCUCGCGAUGGGGUAGCGGUGCUGGAAUCCCCCAGAACUAGUUUGACUCUUUUCAUCGACAAUAAUCUGGUGCCCAACAUUGGGCCUCAGAGAAGACUCAGGACCCUGAAGGAGUUGCCCAAAACUGGAGCUAAGGUACCAGCAGGAGCCCAUUGAAGCCUCAUUGAAUUCAAGCUUCUCCUUCGGUGGAACUGAUUAUGAAAAGAGAAAAGGAGAAUGGCUAUGCCCUCAAACCACUUGGAACCCUGAUUUUUCCUAAACUUGGCCUCUAAUAUCCACCCCCAUGGAACAUAGCAUCUGGAUAAAAUGAGAAGAUGGCAAUCUGCAAACCAAGAAGCAGACCCUCAUCAGACACUGGCACCUUGAUUUUGGACUUCCCAGCCUCCAGAA